rnacentral:tRNA from 1 species
AAAGCCUUAAGUUAAACUAAACUACUAACCUUCAAAGUUAGAAAUGCAAAAAAAAUUGCAAGCUUUA